rnacentral:rRNA from 1 species
UGGGGAAUAUUGCACAAUGGGCGCAAGCCUGAUGCAGCCAUGCCGCGUGUAUGAAGAAGGCCUUCGGGUUGUAAAGUACUUUCAGCGGGGAGGAAGGGAGUAAAGUUAAUACCUUUGCUCAUUGACGUUACCCGCAGAAGAAGCACCGGCUAACUCCGUGCCAGCAGCCGCGGUAAUACGGAGGGUGCAAGCGUUAAGCGGAAUUACUGGGCGUAAAGCGCACGCAGGCGGUUUGUUAAGUCAGAUGUGAAAUCCCCGGGCUCAACCUGGGAACUGCAUCUGAUACUGGCAAGCUUGAGUCUCGUAGAGGGGGGUAGAAUUCCAGGUGUAGCGGUAAAAUGCGUAGAGAUCUGGAGGAAUACCGGUGGCGAAAGCGGCCCCCUGGACGAAGACUGACGCUCAGGUGCGAAAGCGUGGGGAGCAAACAGG